GUGUUUAAACCAUAAAAAUAGUCAUACUUAAUUAUACUAAAAAAACACUAAAACCAGUUAUCAUCAUUACGAAACAUCAUCAAACUUACAGCAAAGACAAGUUCCAGUCCGAGGUUGUCGAUGAUGGGAGGUUAAAACCCAACAUUUGUAAAGUAGAAUCAAACAAAAUACU